rnacentral:rRNA from 1 species
UACGUAGGGGGCUAGCGUUGUCCGGAAUCAUUGGGCGUAAAGCGCGUGUAGGCGGUCCGGUAAGUCCGCUGUGAAAGUCGAGGGCUCAACCCUCGAAUGCCGGUGGAUACUGUCGGGCUAGAGUGCGGAAGAGGCGAGUGGAAUUCCUGGUGUAGCGGUGAAAUGCGCAGAUAUCAGGAGGAACACCUAUUGCGAAGGCAGCUCGCUGGGACGGUACUGACGCUGAGACGCGAAAGCGUGGGGAGCAAACAGG